rnacentral:rRNA from 1 species
UAAGGAAUAUUGGACAAUGCUCGCAAGAGUGAUCCAGCCAUGCCGCGUGCAGGAAGAAUGCCCUAUGGGUAGUAAACUGCUUUUGAACUAGAGAAAACCCCAGUACGUGUACUGGGCUGAUAGUAUAGUUAGAAUAAGCAUCGGCUAACUUCGUGCCAGCAGCCGCGGUAAGACGAAGGAUGCAAGCGUUAUCCGGAUUCAUUGGGUUUAAAGGGAGCGUAGGUGGACUUAUAAGUCAGUGGUGAAAUCUCCGAGCUUAACUCGGAAAUUGCCAUUGAUACUGUAGGUCUUGAGUACAGUUGCUGUGGGCGGAAUAUGACAUGUAGUGGUGAAAUACAUAGAGAUGUCAUAGAACACCGAUUGCGAAGGCAGCUCACAAAGCUGUAACUGACACUGAGGCUCGAAAGUGCGGGGAUCAAACAGG